AGGCAAUAUAAAGUCCUGGUUCACUCUCAGGAACGAGAGCUGACGCAGUUAAAGGAGAAGUUACGGGAAGGGAGAGAUGCCUCCCGCUCAUUGAAUGAGCAUCUCCAGGCCCUCCUCACUCCGGAUGAGCCGGACAAGUCCCAGGGGCAGGACCUCCAAGAACAGCUGGCUGAGGGGUGUAGACUGGCACAGCACCUUGUCCAAAAGCUCAGCCCAGAAAAUGACGAAGAUGAGGAUGAAGAUGUUCAAGUUGAGGAGGAUGAGAAAGUACUGGAAUCAUCUGCCCCCAGGUAACACUGAAUACUCAGGAGCAAGUAAUGGGUGGUAACAUAUGAAGAUGUCUAGGAGGCACACCCUCUCUGGCAUCUAUGGUGGGCCAAAAGCCCGCAUCCCCUUGGCCACAGUAUGUGAAAUUGAACCCAGCUUAGACACAGGGUGCGGCAGCUGUCGUGUUUCUCUAUGUGUGCCAAGUGUCAUGUCUGUACCAUACAGGGAUAGCUGAGUCUUCAUCCUCCUCAGCUCCUAUCUGUCCAGUGCACUGAACACCAGCUGCUCUCUUCCUCUCUGGCUCCCAUGGCAGCCAUGGUCUGUUGCAGAGAGAAGAGGAUUGCCUGUUCCCUCUUUAAGGGAACCUCCGUUUUGCUUUCUGGAACCACUCUCUUAAUGCCGCCUGUCAAAACCAGCUAGUACUCCCUG
rnacentral:lncRNA from 1 species